ACCGCUCAGGCUCUUCGACUGUGACGCCAGCGAGUAGAGCUGCAGGGAGAGAGCAAGGAGGACCGAGUCGGGUGUCUCCACAGCUGGAUGCCCGUGUUUGUGGCGGGCUAGACUCCCACUGUUACACCUGCAGUACUGCUGACUCGUGAUAAGAAAACGCAGCUCCGUAUUUCACGGCGACUCUCUGAAAAGUGUGUCAGAGGUCAAAGGGCACCCGUGUUUGAGGUCGAGACGCUGACUCGGCGUCACGGAGCAGAACUUCUCCUUUCACAAGCUGAUUCUGCAGGAAGUGAUGACACAUGGACUCAAACCCGUGACCCACAGCUUUAACACGCAUCAGCAGCAGCAGCGAGGCCACUUCCUGUCGGCGUCUGAGCUCAGACGGUGGAUGUGUCAACGUCCCAGGAUGCACUGGGCCUGACCUGUGCUUCAGGUGACCUCCUGCUGGAGCUGCAGAGACUCUAAUGAGGAUUAAACCAAAGAAGAAGAGUGGACCUGACAGGCUGAGCUGGGGUUAAACGAGGACGGCUGUGAAGGCGGAGCCUGAGAGCCUUCUUCACCCCCAGCUGUGAUGUUUAACCCUGCUGGAGGCGGUCCUAUGAAGCUCUCUGAGCCGUGAGCUGUGACCGAACACUCAACUCAAACACUCAACAAUAAAGUCAGGAUGAAGGCCGACCUGAAAGUGUCAGCUUCAUCCUGAUAGAGAAACAUCAGAAUCACAGCAGCUUCAUGUUUGUUUGUCUCUCAGUGAAGCUGCUGUUAUCAGCUCAUUUCUGCUGUAACUGCUGACUUCCUGUGCCCGUAACCAGAGAUGACUCAGUUAAACUAAACGUGAUGAUGUUGCGACAGCUUGAGUCUGUCAGCUGUUGCAGGUAAAUAGCUUUGGCAUCUCGAUGUAAAGUUUCCUGCUGCAGUAAACAAAGAGCAGUUUUGUGUUCAGAGCUUUGAAUGAGGCGCUGCUUUAUGGACCCGCCGUGUUCAGUCCGACCUGCAGCUUCCGGUCUGACCAGCUCGCCGGCCUCGGUGAAACCAGUCGGACCAGAAACGCCACCCCACAGUCAGAUCUUGCACAAGGGUCAAAAUCCCAGCACGUUGAGGAAAUACCUGAGUUUGUACAAGCCCGCUCCGAUCUCUCAGACGGGACACUUUUGGUCUCCUCUGUGAUGUUUUUUAAUAAGCUGUUUAUUCAACUCUGUUUUUAAGCAUUUUUUAUAAAAUGUUCUUAUUCGAGUUGUAAUUUUUAGCUUUCCAUUUUACUGUUGUUUCUUCUUAUUUCUGUUUUACGUGUGAGCUGUUUAUCAUUAUGGAUUUAUACCUUUAUCACUGUUAAAUGUCUCACUCUCUUGUACAGCACUAAUUAUUCUUAAAUGAAUAAACUUGAGUAGAAAAGCAGCAAAAACAAUAAAGAUUUUUUUCUAUGAAAUGGAAUUCACUUCACAUCACACUGAUUUUCAUCUAAAUAACGCGAUGCUUCAACAUCACAAGCAUCUG